rnacentral:rRNA from 1 species
UACGUAGGUGGCGAGCGUUGUCCGGAUUUACUGGGCGUAAAGAGCGCGCAGGCGGUCGUUCAAGUCGCGUGUGAAAGCCCCCGGCUCAACUGGGGAGGGUCACGCGAUACUGAUCGACUCGAAGGCAGGAGAGGGAAGUGGAAUUCCCGGUGUAGUGGUGAAAUGCGUAGAUAUCGGGAGGAACACCAGUGGCGAAGGCGGACUUCCUGGCCUGUUCUUGACGCUGAGGCGCGAAAGCUAGGGGAGCAAACGGG